rnacentral:rRNA from 1 species
GACGAACGCUGGCGGCGUGCCUAAUACAUGCAAGUUGAGCGCUGAAGGUUGGUACUUGUACCGACUGGAUGAGCAGCGAACGGGUGAGUAACGCGUGGGGAAUCUGCCUUUGAGCGGGGGACAACAUUUGGAAACGAAUGCUAAUACCGCAUAAAAACUUUAAACACAAGUUUUAAGUUUGAAAGAUGCAUUUGCAUCACUCAAAGAUGAUCCCGCGUUGUAUUAGCUAGUUGGUGAGGUAAAGGCUCACCAAGGCGAUGAUACAUAGCCGACCUGAGAGGGGGAACGGCCACAUUGGGACUGAGACACGGCCCAAACUCCUAAGGGAGGCAGCAGUAGGGAAUCUUCGGCAAUGGACGGAAGUCUGACCGAGCAACGCCGCGUGAGGGGAGAAGGGUUUCGGAUCGUAAAACUCUGUUGGUAGAGAAGAACGUUGGUGAGAGUGGAAAGCUCAUCAAGUGACGGUAACUACCCAGAAAGGGACGGCUAACUACGUG